UAGUCAGCAUUAUUGGGCAUCACAAACAAGCCAUCCAGCCAACUGAGCUAUGUCAGGCAGGGUCACCUGAUCAAAAACGUUAACUCUGUUUUCACAGAUGCUGCCAGACCUGCUGAGCUUUUCCAGCAACUUUGUUUCCGUUCCUGAUUUACAGCAUCUGUAGUUCUUUUGGUUUUGAUGCGCUAUAAUGGAGAUUCGCGGGGCCUCCCCGCUUCGGGUGUUCGUGUCGGCGGGUGUUCGGUUUUUCAGGGAACCGGGAGCUCGGGUCCUCGGGUCGGCAGAUGUUCGGGUCUUCGGGGAACCAGGAGCUCGAGUCUUCGGGAGCACAGGUCGGCGGAUGUUCGGGUCUUCGGGGAACCAGGAGCUCGGGUCUUCGGGAGCUCGGGUCGGCGGAUGUUCGGGUCUUCGGGGAACCAGGAGCUCGGGUCUUCGGGAGCACAGGUCGGCGGAUGUUCGGGUCUUCGGGGAAUCAGGAGCUCGGGUCGGCGGGAGUUCGGGUCUUCGGUUCAGCGGGCGCUCGGAUCCUCGGCUGAAGUUGAGCUAAAAUAGACGCAGCGGCCUGACGACUGGGCUCCGAUUGGUUGCCAGGUCCACAGUCGCGGCCAAUGGGAUGAGGCGUACGGACCGAUGACUGUUCGAUGGUUUGAAGCGUAGCGGAGAAUAGGAGAGAAAAUUUUCGAGGAGAAAUCAUCCACAUUAGGAGAACAAAGCCUAGACUGGCCAAAGUUUGUUGGAUAUAUGAAUCCUCUCCUGCUACAAGGAGCAGAUGCUGGACCUGAUGGUCAAUACCAUGUCCAGUCCUGCUCUAAAGGAAAGAAAAGAAUGGGAGGAGAAGCCAGCCUGGAAUAUUGCUUUUCCCGGUUAUGCAGGUAGUCUCACACAUUUACCUGCAUAAGGCUUUGUGUAUCUUUACCAACCAUUCUUUCUCUUUCUUUCAAGAAGUACAAUUGUUCAAGAACACAGUGCAACACCAAAGCAGCAGCAACUAGCAGCACUACCACAUUUGGGGAGGAUGGCUGUAAACCUUCACAGGGCACACUGGCACAGCAUUCACCUGCACCCUCCAGCACUACCACCUCAGUGGGUAUUCUAGCUACAGUCAGGGAUACAAUCUGGUCAGUGCAUCGUGAACUCAGCCGUCGAAGGAAGAAACGUCCAAGGUCUUUUACGCUGAGGACUACUAGGGACCAGACACCUGCUAAGAACCAUGUAGAAGACAUGCCUCUGUACUUAGGUAGAAGUGACAUUGUCAAUUUGCAGAGACAGGCAGGGGGCUAUCAGGCAGUGAGGAGGAGGCACUAACUUGUCUGGAGAGGUGCAUCCAAUUUCUGACACCUGUCAUGGCUCCAAUACUUGGCUGUCUCCAUAGAAAUGGUGGGGCUGCCUUGAAGACCCAGAAUCAAAGGAUAUGCACUUGGAUCUGCACUGCCUCUGCCCAGCUAUAGAUGCACAAUGUCAACGACAAGGCAAGAGGAGGAAUGAGGCUCCUUAACCCUCAUUUCUGGACUCCUUCUUCUCACAAGGUCCAAACUGUGUCAGCAGGCACCCAUUAAGAGGAACUUCUCUCAGGCACCCUAUUCCUCCAACUCUCCUCUCUCAGUGACCCUAUGGCAUACAGCAGCUCAGGUUGAGGAGGUUGCUGUGAAGAAGACUCUCAGCAAGCUAGGACCCUAACUACUCUGAUCUCCAGAGGACACCCACCAAAGUUUUGAGUGCGAGCAGCAGCGGAGGUAAGACAAACCUGGAAGACUGCAGCUAAGGUAAGGCAGUUUUUUAAAAUUACUUACCGGUCGCGGGCAGCGGUGUUUUCUCUUUCACAGAAGGAGCGGGAGCAGCGAAGGAAGUGACGAGGACCAGAGGGGCAGCCGGGAAGGAAAGCAGUGACCAUAUAUAUCAGCAAGGCGGCUAAACCCCAGACUCUACAACUGUAGUGUCUCCCACCAGCCCUCCUCCUCUAACCUAGUUAAUAAGGAGGAAGUGCCAACUGCCAGGAACAUGCCUGCUCAAUACUGUUGGGUAUCUGAAGCAUCGAGUUUCUUGAUUGGGGAGAAGUUGAUCAAAAAGACUCAUGGAAGAGACAUGGAAUAACCUGUAAAAAGAACAGUAAUACAUACAGAGUUGUGAUCGGAGAUAAUGGGAACUUCAGAUGCUGGAGGAUCCGAAGGGUCUAGGCCUGAAACGUCAGCUUUUGUGCUCUAAGAUGCUGCUUGGCCUGCUGUGUUCGUCCAGCUCCACACUUUGUUAUACAUACAAAGUAUUGGGAUCAUUUAUAGCAGUGGUAAUAAAAGUUUAUCAGAACUUCAGCAAAUUGUCACUCUAAGAAAAGUCAGGGGCUGAGAUAUAGCAGACUCAGAUGGAGAUAGUACAAUGGAUGGGGCAGACUGUCAGCACUGCAGGACAGAAGCGCAAAGCCUCAUGGCAGGUUAACCUAUCAGGGACAGAUUAACUAGCUGUUGAAUCAGUGAAGAUAGAUCAAGUCACACCCUAAAUAUUUCCAUCUCUCUUUCCCCUUCUAUAAAUUGAUUAUUAAAACCUACCUCUUUGAUACCAAGCUGUCAGCUGUUCUAACAUCUCCCCAUGUAACAUGGUGUCAGUCUUGUUUGAUAAUCACUCCUGUGUUACUCCUUGGGACAUUUUACAGUUGAAUGAACUGCCAAAAGACAAAAUGCUGUUACUGUUGAGAGCAGCAUUUUAAUUUCCAUAAGUUUUAAAACAUAUUUCAAGUUCUCCAGCUGUUAUGUUGGGAUUCAAUUACUAGGCCAAGCCUCCUGAAUUAUUAGACCGGUAACAUAAUUAGCAUUUGGGUUUUGUGAUCUCACCGGACUCAAAACGUUAACUCUGCUCUCUUUGCUCAAAUGCUGUCAGAUCUGCUGAGUUUCACCAGCAAUUUCUGUUUUUGUUUCAGAUUUCCAGCAUCCACAGUCUUUGUUUUAGUUAAGAAACAGUCCUUUAAAGAUCUUAACCAGCUCCAAAGACCAGUCGAACCAUUCAAUCUCAUCAUAGUUUUGAUCUUAAUACACCAGCUGCAUGUCGAAGAAGAUGCAAAUAACUUACCUAAAUUUCAAGGCAAGUUCACCUUCAUUUGGUAACAAAGUGCCUGAGUCAAACUGAAAGAAGGGAGGGAUGGAAGGUUGAUCAAACCUUCUGUCAAUGGGAUGCUGAUGUUCUAGUGCUUUUAUCUCUAGACUAUUCAUCCAGACCUGGGAUCUGGGUUCAAAUCCUGCCAUGGCAGAUGGUGAAAUCUGUAUUCAAUCGAAAAGUAUACCUGGAACUAAGAAUCUGCUGAUGACCAUGAAACCAUUGCCGAUUGUUGGAAAAGCCCAUCUGAUUCAUUAAUGUCCUUCGGGGAGAGAAAUCUGCUAUCCUCACUGGUAUGGCCGACAUUGUGACUCCAGACCCACAGCAAUGUGGUUGACUGUCAGCUACUCUCUGAAACAGCCUAGCAAGCCACUUAGGGACAGGCAAUAAAUGCUGACCAGCCAGUGAUGCCCAUAUUCCACGAGUGAAUAAAAAAUCGCGGAGCUUUGAGUUAUGUGUUAAUUAGAAAAUGUCUUCUUUUGCCUAUGGUGCUAUAGGAUGUCACAAUAUAGAAGGACAACAUUGGGGGUAAAAUUCACUUAGGUGGGUGCUUAAAGUAGGUGGCAAGAUAUCUAUCAUCCAUUUUACAGCCUGCUUGAUUUUGUUUCCCAGGUCAAUUUGUUUGGAGAAAGAUAAGCCAUUUGGGACUAAGAUGAGGAAAAACCUCUUCACUAAGAGUGUGAACUCUCUGAAUUCACGAGUUUAGAGAGGUGGGAAUGCCUCGUCAGUGAGUAUAUACAGGUCUGAUAGGUCAGUGGGCAGUAAAGUAAUGAAGAAAUGGAGAAAUAGUGCAGGAGAGUGUAGUUGAGGUAGGAUGUUAGCCACAAUCUCAUAGAUUGUGAAGCAGCUCAAGGCAUCACUCCAGCUCCUGUUUCUUUUGCUCAUUUCACUAGAAAUAGGUUAUGUGACUUUUGAGCAAGUUGUGAAAGCAUACUGGAUGAUAUAAAAAUACAAGUCUAGGACAAGGGGAAAUACUCUCCACUGACCUGAACAUGAGCAGCUGCAACAACAUACAAGUGCCACACCAUUAAGGAUAUAUAGCUCACUUGAUUGGCACUCUGUUCAUGUCCCUUAAAUUCACUCCUUUUGAUGCAUCACAGCAGCAGUGUGUACCAUCGACAAGAUGCCCUGCAGCAACUUGCAAAGGCUCUUUCAACAGCACUUUCCAAACCCUCGACCUCUACAACCAGAGCUUCCAGCUCGAGGUAUGACAAUACAAUGGAUAACUAACCCAUUUAAAGUGCAAUGUGUAUAUGGAAUUCUGCAUCCUAAAUGCUGUUGUUCUGGGCCAACUGUACUUCUAAGACAGAUCGAUUGAAGUUUACUGCUUAAGGAUAUCAAGGCAUCAUAAGCUAAGUUGGCAAAAUGCAAUUUCAGUAUAUUUCAGUUGUGUGUUUAUAUAAUAGAGACAGAGAAUAUGCAAAGAAACUGGUCUCAUUGGCAGAAAUUUCAAGACUUUUAAAACAUAUAUUGCUAGCUCUUGAUUGACAAAAGAACCAGAGACAUCAUCAAGAAAAGAAAAAUGGCAGUGAGAGGUUAGGAUGUGGAAUAAGUUGCCUGAAAGCAAAUGAGACAGAAGGGAUGGAAGUGAUAUCCUUAUGAAGUUAGCUGAGUGACAAACAGAGAGCAAUGAUUAAAGGAUAUUUAUCAGACUGGGGAAAGGUUUGUAGUGGAGUUUCCUAGGGAUAAAUUUUGAAAUUCUUGUUAUUCUUGAUAUAAGUUAUAAUUUAUUUUUAUUUCUUCACACAAUGUGCAUGUCACUGAGUGGACCAGCAUUUAUUGUCUUCAAGAAGGCGGUGGUGAGUUGCCUUCUUGAAUCUUUCCAAUCUGUGUGGUGCAGGUACAGAGGGUAUUCCUGGAUUUUAACCCAGGAACAGUGAAUGAACAUUGAUAUAGCUCCAUGUUAGGACACAGAACAGUGUGUGGCUUGGAGCAGAACAGAACUUCCAAGUGCUGGUGUUUCCAAGUGCUUGCUGCCCUUGUCUUUCCAGCUGGUUGGUUUAUAGGUUUGGGAUAUGCUAUUGAAGGAGAUUGCUGGAAUAUAUCUCAUAAAUGAUACAUGCCGCCAUCGCAAUGGAGGGAGUGAAUCUUUAAGAGGGAAUAAAUAUCUCUCUCUCUCUCUCUUCCUCUAACUCGUUCAAAAGAGACAGCACAAAGAUUGUCAGGAAAGAGUUAAGUUGCAGCAAAUACUUUAACUGCCUGCUUACCUCCUUAUCUUCAGGCUGAAAUCAAUUCUUAAGCAUUUGCCCUUAAUUGAUGUUAGACUAAUUGCCUAUAGCUACCUGCCCUGCCCUUUUUCCUUGAUGAACAAAGGUUGUUACAUUAGUUACCCCUGGAACCUGGCAGCACUGACAUUGAGGAAAGCUGAUGUAUGAUCCCAGUGGAAUUUAAGCAGCAAUUCCCAAUACCAACCCAUUCUCACGAGUAAUUAUGUUAUUCCCUGGCAGCAAUAAGCCCCUUGCCAGUGAAGGAGAUUUAUUACACCACACGUUCUUGAUCAAACUGGUUUGCUCCUGGCUCAAGAUAUCACAAUACAAUUGAUAGCUUCCCUAUGCUCCCACCAGAUCUGUUUACAUUCCCUGUCUCACUCAAUAAGCAACAGACUCCAUCAUCCCAGGAUGCCGCAACAAUGAAGAUUUGACUUAUGGGCAAUGUUUUCUUCUCUGUCCAGCCUAUCUAUCCUAUAAUCUUGAUCAUUAGCCUUGUCACCCAAGGAACUGCCAGAGACACAGAUUGUAAUCGGUGAAUUUCACAGAUCUUGAAGCACUUGCAAUCCAUAUGAUCUUCAUACGAAAGGGUUCAUCCAUUUAAAAUAAAUCAGUUGAAAACACCUCUCUAAUUCCAACCCCCAUAGGAGUACAGCAUCAUCAUGUGAACUGCAGUAAUUAGGAUUUCUAUUUGCUUUGAAAACAGAAGUUGCUGGAAAAGCUCAGCAGGUCUGGCAGCAUCUAUGAAGAAAAAUCAGAGUUAACGUUUCAGGUCUGGUGACAAGGUUCCACAUGGCAGGAUAGUCAUGAAGGUUAGCUCGCAUGGGAUCCACGGAGAGCUAGCUAACUGGAUUCGGGAUUGGCUCGGUGGUAGGAAGCAGAGGGUGAUGGUUGAAGGUUGUUUCUUGGACUGGAGGCCUUUGACUAGUGAUGUGCCAUAGGAGUCAAUGCUGGGACCUUUGUUAUUUACACAAAUGAUCUGGAUGUGAAUGUACAAGGCAUGAUUAGUACGUUUGCGGAUGAUACAAAAUUAGGAGGUAUCUUUGAAGGUUACCAAAAAUUUCAGAGGGAUCUUGGUCAGAUGGGGAAAUGCGCUGAGGAUUGGCAAAUGCAAUUCAAUACAGAUAAGUGUGAGGUGUUGCACUUUGGAAAGUCAACCUAAGGGAGGACUAAUACAGUAAAUGGUAAAGUCCAGAGGAGUGUUGUGGGACAGAGGGACCUUGGAGUACAAGAACAGAACUUGUUGAAAGCAGCAUCACAGGUAGACUGGAUGGUGAAGAUGACAUUUAGCAUACUGGCCUUCAUUGGUCGAGGCAUUGACUAUAGGAGUUGGGACGUUAUGUUGCAGCUGUAUAAGUUAUUGAUGAGGCCACACUUGGAGUAUUGUGUACUGUUUUGGUCACCAUGUCAUAGGAAAGACAUAGUUAAACUGGAAGAAAUAGCUGCCUCUGAUGCUGCCUGGCCUGCUGUGUUCCUGCAGCUCCACGCUGUUAUCUUAGUUAAACUGGAAAGUGUGCAAACCAGUUUGGUUUGGGCUGAAGGGCCUGUUUCCAUGCUGUAUGACUCUAUGCUGCCAGACCUGCUGAGCUUUUCCAGCAACUUCCAUUCUUGUUCCUGAUUUACAGCAUCCGCAGUUCUUUCAGUUUUUGUUUGUAUUUGCAUGUUUAUUGCCACCAUUUCAUGGGAUACUUGCUGUUGUAUUUCUCUACCAUCAAAUGUAUAGUAGCCACCCUUUCAUUUCUGAAAGGAUAUUGUUCAUGCAAAAUUAAUUUCAUGCAUCGUCCAUUCACAUAGAUUUCCUGUCUGUAAGUUGGUUGCCAUUUUUGCUUUGAACAAAACCAUAGCUGCACUUCACAUGUAUUUUAAGCACUUUGGAAUGCCUGAGGCUGUGGGAGGAACUACACAAAUACAAGUUUUUCGUUUCUUCCAUACCAGCAUUGUUGCUGAGGGUAAAGGAUAGUAGGGUGGUACUGUCAUUGGGCUGGUAAUCUAGAGGCCCAGGUUAAUGUGCUGAGUACACAGACUUAAAUUCCAUCACAAUGGUUGAUGAUGACACAUAAUAAAUCUGGAAUUGAAAUUUAAUAUCAGUAGCAAAGCUAUCAUCAUCAACUGUUGAUUAAAAUCUCUCACUAAUGUCCUUUCAGGAAGGAAGUCUGCUGUCCUUCCUUGGUCUGGCCAACAUGUGUCUUCAGACCCACACUGAUGUGGUUGACUCUAAAGUGUCUUUGGAAAGGGCCUCACAAGCCACUGGGUAAUUGACAGCAUGGAACUCUUGGGCUCCAUUUUUCCAACUUGCUUUAUUCUA